rnacentral:rRNA from 1 species
ACGCGAAGAACCUUACCUACGCUUGACAUACCAAGUUUGAUUUCCAGAGAUGGAUUUCUUCAGUUCGGCUGGCUUGGAUACAGGUGCUGCAUGGCUGUCGUCAGCUCGUGUCGUGAGAUGUUGGGUUAAGUCCCGCAACGAGCGCAACCCUUAUUGUUAGUUGCCAUCAUUUAGUUGGGCACUCUAGUGAGACUGCCGGUGAUAAGCCGGAGGAAGGUGGGGACGACGUCAAGUCAUCAUGGCCCUUACGCGUAGGGCUACAAACGUGCUACAAUGGUAGUGACAGUGGGCUGCGAGGCAGUGAUGCCAAGCAAAUCCUAAAAAGCUAUCUCAGUUCGGAUUGUACUCUGCAACUCGAGUACAUGAAGUUGGAAUCGCUAGUAAUCGUGGAUCAGCAUGCCACGGUGAAUACGUUCCCGGGUCUUGUACACACCG